CCCCAGUCAGGGCACAUAAAAGUAGCAAUCCAUGAGCCCUAACCAGUUUGGCUCAGUGGAUAGUGUUAGCCUGCGUACUCAAGGGUCCUAAGUUCAAUUCAGGUCAAGGGCAUGUACCUUGGUUGUGGGCACAUACCCAGUAGGGAGUGUGCAAGAGGCAGUUGAACGAUGUUUCCCUCUCAUUGAUGUUUCUAACUCUCUAUUCCUCACC